CUCCCACUUAAAAAGAUGAGAGAGGCCUGUAAUUUUCAUCAUAGGUACACUUCAACUAUGACAGACAAAAUGAGGAGAAAGAAAUCCAGAAAACCACAUUGUAGGAUUUUUUAUGAAUUUAUUUGUGAACCCACAACCUUCUGUCCCACUAUCAAAAUCCCUGCGUGGCCAUGUUAUGCUCACAGAACAGUUAAACGGCAUAUAAGGCUCUGUUCUGUCCAAGAAGUGAGGUUAAACGUUGCACGUCUAUGGGACUCCACUGCCCAUAGCACCCUUGUCAUCAGCCUAGCUUUCAGAGAGGAUUCCAUCCUCCAACAAAGCAGCCUCAAGCAACUCUUUGACUACUGCUUUUGAAUAUGUGUUAUACAAGUGUUCAAAUAUUAGCAAAGGGGAUCACAGUUGCCUCGGUACAUCGGUCUAGUACUUCCCAAGUGGGUUUUUCUUCAAAUGCUUUUCACUUCAAAGUCAAUGGCUUUUUGUGUGUGUGUGUGUGUGUGUGUGUGUUAAUGCAACUUUCCACUGCUUCAGAGUGAUUUGUGCGACUACAACAAACCUGGGACACAACGUCCUGGAUGAGCCCACAUUUUGUGACGUUCCCCGAUAAGAAACCCAAAAUCGUUGCUCAACAGAAAAAGGAAACUAACAAAGGAGCAACCCAAACUAAACAGGUGGGGUUUCAAAAUGGGUUUUGAAAGGCAUCCAUGGAGGGCCUACUGAGUGGUGGCCAAGCAACUCUAGUUGGGUCUAAAAAGACACCCACUGGAUUUAGCCUACCUGAUAUUUUUUAUUUCUUUUCCAAAUCGACCUCUAUUGGCCUCAUGGGUGGAACGUUAUUAAUAUUUUUCAUAUGAAGUUCAUAUUUAAGAAACAUUUUUUUAUUUCUUUACCGCAGAAAAUCCAGUGUUUCUAUGUCAAACAGUUUUGUUAUAUUUUUGUGUUUUGUGAUCUAUAUGUAAGAAUAUUUUGAAUAAACAAUGCAGAUGACGAGAGGUCAAUACCGUUCUAAAGGUCAAGAGGACUAAAAGUCAACAGAGUACUAACGAUCAAUGGAAAUUGUGUUUUUUCUGUAAUAGGGGAUUUAUGCAGAGACAUGGGAGGAAUUUGUCUACAUAUCGAGUCUGAAAUAGGAUACUUGUUAUUUGGCCAUUGACCCAGUUUUAUUGCAAGGAAUUCUAAUUGGUCAAACACAGGCUAGGGCUGGGUUAUAAAACUACAUCCUGUCCCAUUGUUCUGUGGAGAGAAUCACUCUUUGAAUAAAUCUAUUUUCCUCCCCGA